rnacentral:rRNA from 1 species
UACGGAGGGGGCUAGCGUUGUUCGGAAUUACUGGGCGUAAAGCGCACGUAGGCGGCUUUGUAAGUUAGAGGUGAAAGCCCGGGGCUCAACUCCGGAAUUGCCUUUAAGACUGCAUCGCUAGAAUUGUGGAGAGGUAAGUGGAAUUCCGAGUGUAGAGGUGAAAUUCGUAGAUAUUCGGAAGAACACCAGUGGCGAAGGCGACUUGCUGGACACAUAUUGACGCUGAGGUGCGAAAGCGUGGGGAGCAAACAG